rnacentral:tRNA from 1 species
GGAGAAAUGGCCGAGUGGUUGAAGGCGCUCGCCUGGAAAGCGGGUAAACGUGAAAGCGUUUCGAGGGUUCGAAUCCCUCUUUCUCCG